rnacentral:rRNA from 1 species
AGAGUUUGAUCCUGGCUCAGGACGAACGCUGGCGGCGUGCCUAAAACAUGCAAGUCGAACGAGGGGGCAACCCCUAGUGGCGAACGGCGGAGUAAGACGUGAGCAACGCGCCCCAAAGUCCGGGACAAACGCAGAAAUGCCAUAAAUACCGGAUGUGGCCCAUCUUCGGCAUCGAGGAUGGAUUAAACGGUUUUUCGCUUUGGGAGCGGCUCACGGCCCAUCAGGUAGUUGGGGGGGUAACGGCCCACCAAGCCGACGACGGGUAGCGGGUCUGAGAGGAUGAUCCGCCCGAGUGGGACUGAGACACGGCCCACACACCUACGGGUGGCAGCAGUUGGGAAUCUUGCACAAUGGGGGAAACCCUGAUGCAGCGACGCCGCGUGGAGGAUGAAGGGUCUAGGCCUGUAAACUCCUUUUACCGGGAAAGACUUAGGACGGUACCCGGGGAAUAAGGACCGGCUAACUACGUGCCAGCAGCCGCGGUAAGACGUAGGGUCCAAGCGUUGUCCGGAUUUACUGGGCGUAAAGAGCGCGUAGGCGGUCCGUUAAGUGUAGAGUGAAAGCUCCGGGCUCAACUCGGAAAUUGCUCUGCAUACUGGCGGACUCGAGGAUGGAAGAGGUUUGUGGAAUUCCUGGUGUAGCGGUGAAAUGCGUAGAUAUCAGGAGGAACACCCAUGGCGAAGGCAGCAAACUGGUCCAUAUCUGACGCUGAGGCGCGAAAGCGUGGGUAGCAAACAGGAUUAGAUACCCUGGUAGUCCACGCCCUAAACGAUGGAUACUAGGCGUGAGAGGUAUCGACCCCUCUCGUGCCGCAGCUAACGCACUAAGUAUCCCGCCUGGGGAGUACGGCCGCAAGGUUGAAACUC